rnacentral:rRNA from 1 species
GAUGAACGCUGGCGGCGUGCCUAAUACAUGCAAGUCGAGCGAACGGACGAGAAGCUUGCUUCUCUGAUGUUAGCGGCGGACGGGUGAGUAACACGUGGAUAACCUACCUAUAAGACUGGGAUAACUUCGGGAAACCGGAGCUAAUACCGGAUAAUAUUUUGAACCGCAUGGUUCAAAAGUGAAAGACGGUCUUGCUGUCACUUAUAGAUGGAUCCGCGCUGCAUUAGCUAGUUGGUAAGGUAACGGCUUACCAAGGCAACGAUGCAUAGCCGACCUGAGAGGGUGAUCGGCCACACUGGAACUGAGACACGUUCCAGACUCCUACGGGAGGCAGCAGUAGGGAAUCUUCCGCAAUGGGCGAAAGCCUGACGGAGCAACGCCGCGUGAGUGAUGAAGGUCUUCGGAUCGUAAAACUCUGUUAUUAGGGAAGAACAUAUGUGUAAGUAACUGUGCACAUCUUGACGGUACCUAAUCAGAAAGCCACGGCUAACUACGU